GGUUAAGCGAAUAAGCGUACACGGUGGAUGCCUAGGCAAUCAGAGGCGAUGAAGGACGUGCUAAUCUGCGAAAAGCGUCGGUAAGGUGAUAUGAACCGUUAUACCCGACGAUAUCCGAAUGGGGAAACCCAGUAUCCAAUGGAUACUAUCAUUAACUGAAUCCAUAGGUUAAUGAGGCGAACCGGGAGAACUGAAACAUCUCAGUACCCCGAGGAAAAGAAAUCAACCGAGAUUCCCCUAGUAGCGGCGAGCGAACGGGGAGCAGCCCAGAGUCUUAAUCAAUAGCAGUGUCAGGAGAACGGUCUGGAAAGUCCGGCAGUAAAGGGUGAUAGCCCCGUAUCUGAAGAUGCUGUUAUUGUGAACUCGACGAGUAGGGCGGGACACGUGUUAUCCUGUCUGAAUAUGGGGGGACCAUCCUCCAAGGCUAAAUACUCCUGAUUGACCGAUAGUGAACCAGUACCGUGAGGGAAAGGCGAAAAGAACCCCGGCGAGGGGAGUGAAAAAGAACCUGAAACCGUGUACGUACAAGCAGUAGGAGCCNNACUGCGUACCUUUUGUAUAAUGGGUCAGCGACUUAUAUUCUGUAGCGAGGUUAACCGUAUAGGGGAGCCGUAGGGAAACCGAGUCUUAACUGGGCGAAUGAGUUGCAGGGUAUAGACCCGAAACCCGGUGAUCUAUCCAUGGGCAGGUUGAAGGUUGGGUAACACUAACUGGAGGACCGAACCGACUAAUGUUGAAAAAUUAGCGGAUGACUUGUGGAUGGGGGUGAAAGGCCAAUCAAACCGGGAGAUAGCUGGUUCUCCCCGAAAGCUAUUUAGGUAGCGCCUCGUGAACUCAUCUUCGGGGGUAGAGCACUGUUUCGACUAGGGGGUCAUCCCGACUUACCAACUCGAUGCAAACUGCGAAUACCGAAGAAUGUUAUCACGGGAGACACACGGCGGGUGCUAACGUCCGUCGUGAAGAGGGAAACAACCCAGACCGCCAGCUAAGGUCCCAAAGUCAUGGUUAAGUGGGAAACGAAGUGGGAAGGCUCAGACAGCCAGGAUGUUGGCUUAGAAGCAGCCAUCAUUUAAAGAAAGCGUAAUAGCUCACUGGUCGAGUCGGCCCGCGCGGAAGAUGUAACGGGGCUAAACCAUGCACCGAAGCUGCGGCAGCGANNGUUGGGUAGGGGAGCGUUCUGUAAGCCUGCGAAGGUGUACUGUGAGGUAUGCUGGAGGUAUCAGAAGUGCGAAUGCUGACAUAAGUAACGAUAAUGCGGGUGAAAAACCCGCACGCCGGAAGACCAAGGGUUCCUGUCCAACGUUAAUCGGGGCAGGGUGAGUCGACCCCUAAGGCGAGGCUGAAAAGCGUAGUCGAUGGGAAACGGGUUAAUAUUCCCGUACUGGUGGUAACUGCGAUGGGGGAACGGAGAAGGCUAGGUUGUCCGGGCGACGGUCGUCCCGGUUCAAGCAGGUAGGCAGAGUGAUUAGGCAAAUCCGGUCACUUAAUGCUGAGAUGUGAUGACGAACCACUAAGGUGGUGAAGCAAUUGAUGCCCCGCUUCCAGGAAAAGCCUCUAAGCUUCAGGUUACCAACAAUCGUACCCCAAACCGACACAGGUGGUCAGGUAGAGAAUACUCAGGCGCUUGAGAGAACUCGGGUGAAGGAACUAGGCAAAAUGGUGCCGUAACUUCGGGAGAAGGCACGCUGGCGGUAGGUAAAGUCCCUCGCGGACGGCGCUGAAGCCAGUCGAAGAUACCAGCUGGCUGCAACUGUUUAUUAAAAACACAGCACUGUGCAAACACGAAAGUGGACGUAUACGGUGUGACGCCUGCCCGGUGCUGGAAGGUUAAUUGAUGGGGUCAGCCGUAAGGCGAAGCUCCUGAUCGAAGCCCCAGUAAACGGCGGCCGUAACUAUAACGGUCCUAAGGUAGCGAAAUUCCUUGUCGGGUAAGUUCCGACCUGCACGAAUGGCGUAAUGAUGGCCAGGCUGUCUCCACCCGAGACUCAGUGAAAUUGAACUCGCUGUGAAGAUGCAGUGUACCCGCGGCAAGACGGAAAGACCCCGUGAACCUUUACUAUAGCUUGACACUGAACAUUGAGCCUUGAUGUGUAGGAUAGGUGGGAGGCUUUGAAGUGUGGACGCCAGUCUGCAUGGAGCCAACCUUGAAAUACCACCCUUUAACGUUUGAUGUUCUAACCUAGGCCCAUAAACUGGGUCGGGGACCGUGUCUGGUGGGUAGUUUGACUGGGGCGGUCUCCUCCUAAAGAGUAACGGAGGAGCACGAAGGUUGGCUAAGCAUGGUCGGACAUCAUGCGGUUAGUGCAAAGGCAUAAGCCAGCUUGACUGCGAGAGUGACGGCUCGAGCAGGUACGAAAGUAGGUCUUAGUGAUCCGGUGGUUCUGAAUGGAAGGGCCAUCGCUCAACGGAUAAAAGGUACUCCGGGGAUAACAGGCUGAUACCGCCCAAGAGUUCAUAUCGACGGCGGUGUUUGGCACCUCGAUGUCGGCUCAUCACAUCCUGGGGCUGAAGUAGGUCCCAAGGGUAUGGCUGUUCGCCAUUUAAAGUGGUACGCGAGCUGGGUUUAGAACGUCGUGAGACAGUUCGGUCCCUAUCUGCCGUGGGCGUUGGAAGAUUGAGAGGGGUUGCUCCUAGUACGAGAGGACCGGAGUGAACGCACCACUGGUGUUCGGGUUGUCAUGCCAAUGGCAUUGCCCGGUAGCUAAGUGCGGAAGAGAUAACCGCUGAAAGCAUCUAAGCGGGAAACUUGCCUCGAGAUGAGUCUUCCCUGUCGCUUUAAGUGACCUAAAGGAACGUUUAAGACUAAGACGUUGAUAGGCUGGGUGUGUAAGCGUAGCGAUACGUUGAGCUAACCAGUACUAAUGAACCGUGAGGCUUAACCUG
rnacentral:rRNA from 1 species